rnacentral:rRNA from 1 species
UACGUAGGGGGCAAGCGUUGUCCGGAUUUAUUGGGCGUAAAGAGCGUGUAGGCGGCCAUACAGGUCAGCUGUGAAAACUCGAGGCUCAACCUCGAGACGUCGGUUGAAACCGUAUGGCUAGAGUCCGGAAGAGGAGAGUGAAAUUCCCGGUGUAGCGGUGAAAUGCGCAGAUAUCAGGAGGAACACCGGUGGCGAAGGCGGUGGGCUGGGCCGGCACUGACGCUGAGGAGCGAAAGCGUGGGGAGCGAACAGG